UACGAAGGGGGCUAGUCGUGCUCGGAAUCACUGGGGCGUAAAGGGUGCGUAGGCGGGUCUUUUAAGUCAGGGGUGAAAUCCUGGAGCUCAACUCCAGAACUGCCUUUGAUACUGAAGAUCUUGAGUUCGGGAGAGGUGAGUGGAACUGCGAGUGUAGAGGUGAAAUUCGUAGAUAUUCGCAAGAACACCCGUGGCGAAGGCGGCUCUCUGGGACGGUACUGGACGCUGAGACGCGAAAGCGUGGGGAGCGAACAGG
rnacentral:rRNA from 1 species